rnacentral:rRNA from 1 species
GAUGAACGCUGGCGGCGUGCCUAAUACAUGCAAGUCGAGCGAACAGAUAAGGAGCUUGCUCCUUUGACGUUAGCGGCGGACGGGUGAGUUACACGUGGAUAACCUACCUCUAAGACUGGGAUAACUUCGGGAAACCGGAGCUAAUACCGGAUAACAUAUUGAACCGCAUUGUUCAAUAGUGAAAGGCGGCUUUGCUGUCACUUAUAGAUGGAUCCGCGCCGUAUUAGCUAGUUGGUAAGGUAACGGCUUACCAAGGCAACGAUACGUAGCCGACCUGAGAGGGUGAUCGGCCACACUGGAACUGAGACACGGUCCAGACUCCUACGGGAGGCAGCAGUAGGGAAUCUUCCGCAAUGGGCGAAAGCCUGACGGAGCAACGCCGCGUGAGUGAUGAAGGUCUUCGGAUCGUAAAACUCUGUUAUCAGGGAAGAACAAAUGUGUAAGUAACUGUGCACAUCUUGACGGUACCUGAUCAGAAAGCCACGGCUAACUACGUG